AGUUUCCCAUUGAUUACAUGCACCAAGUGUGCUUAGGAGUCAUGAAAAAACUCCUACAAGUAUGGAUAAAGGGGCCGCAGAGGACACGCAUGUCUGCUGGUCAAGUAAAUCAGGUAAGCGAGAGGUUGUUGUCAUUGAGGAAAUCGAUGCCCAGCCCUCCCACCUCCUCCAGAAUACAACAACGGAAACACAAACGAGAGUGAUGACUCGGAGACUCCCGACAAGCUAUCUGAAGACAUGUUUUCCGGGGGAAAACAAUGUGGGCCGGGAAGCCUGGAGUCUCCAGGGUCUCCAGGGAGUCUAGCGUCACUGACAAAUACACUUGUGCAGGUUACUGGUCUAUAUCUCCACUGGCGGGUCCUUCAAAUGAUUUUCAGAGGAAAGUGCUGAUGAAAUUAGAUAUAAUAAUUGAACAGCAACAACAAAUUUUAAAUUUGACCAAGCAAAACAUGCCACCUGUGAACGACACAGACAACGUCCUCGACCAUCCCUGCGAGACCCUGGAGGACCUGGAGAGACUGGAAAAGGAGAUAGAAGACAGGGCAAAAAAACAAAGAAUGACUAUGUACCUGCGCUCACUCGGCGGAGCAAACCUGAAUGCUGCCGUUAGGCGAAUGCUCCGCCGAGUGGGCAACAAUGACCUCUGGUCAACUUUCAGCUUCAAGGGAAGGCUUGGCAAGCGCCCUUUCAGUAAGCUAAGGCUAUGCGAAGCAAUGAUUGGAGCAUGCCAGAAAUUAUUUAAAAUAAAGGCGGACGAAGCAGAAGAUGCCAUUGGCCAGGCGCUUAAGUUGGCACCACACAGGAAAUUAAAGUGAUGGAAGAGGAAAGAGGAAAGGAAACGUAAUGUAAAAUAAAAUCUGUUUUAUGGAUCUCAUGUCAUGUCAUUUACUUGAUAUAGUGGAUAAGGUGUAUGAUAAUUAGUACAAAUUCCAGUGAUAUCUGUGUACAAAUUCAAGUAAUGUCUGUGUUCUACUAAUAGUAGUGGCCUAGUGCUAUAUAUGUAUAUCUAUAGAGCAAUAACUGCAGAUCAGUGGUACAGAUAGGUGGACAAGUGGUAAGGUGAAUUGGAGAAAACAACUCUGCAAAUAUGAAUGAAGCUCCAGGGAAAUGCUGAUAAGUAUUGACAACUCAUGAUGGGUCAAAUUAAUUGAGAACGUACUUAUAAAUAUCUGCCAUUUCCUGUGUGGAAAAUUAAAACUAUCAUUUAUUUGUUUCAGUGUUCAAGACCUUUACAUGGAUCCCUGCGAUGUGCACUUUCAACCUCUAAUGUAAGUUGAUGCUAUUGGAAAGGACAUGAAAAUUAGCACUUUGGUCAGCUGUCACCCAUGGCCCAUGUCUAAACCCACUUGUGACCACACAACAGAGGCCUGCUUUGGUAAAGAAAACGACCAACACAUGGAGUGGAGGCCAGACGUGUCACUGGAUUCUAGAGACCAUAUCAGCUCAGGAGCUGCAUUGAAAGACCCAUCAUCCAAAGGCAGAAGGACUCCCGGAUUCUCUCGAAUUGAAACCAAGUGUCGCCUGAAUAAAUUGU